GCCAAUAGGGCUGCUUAGCAGGCUACUUUGAUAUAGUAGAUUGUGAAUUGUUUAUUUCGUUGGUA
rnacentral:tRNA from 3 species